rnacentral:tRNA from 1 species
AUUGAAGUAGUUUAUUUAAAACCUUGACCUGUGGCCUCAAAAAUGCGAUCUAUUAAUUCGCCUUCAAUC